CUACGGGUGGCAGCAGUGGGGAAUAUUGCACAAUGGGCGCAAGCCUGAUGCAGCGACGCCGCGUGGGGGAUGGAAGGCCUUCGGGUUGUAAAAUCCUUUCGCCCGGGACGAAGCCCACCUGGUGGGUGACGGUACCGUGGAGAAGAAGCACCGGCUAACUACGUGCCAGCAGCCGCGGUGAUACGUAGGGUGCAAGCGUUGUCCGGAUUUACUGGGCGUAAAGAGCUCGGAGGUGGUGUGUCGCGUCGUCUGUGAAAUUCCGGGGCUUAACUCCGGGCGUGCAGGUGAUACGGGCACGACUAGAGUGCUGUAGGGGUAACUGGAAUUCCUGGUGUAGCGGUGAAAUGCGCAGAUAUCAGGAGGAACACCGAUGGCGAAGGCAGGUUACUGGGCAGUUACUGACGCUGAGGAGCGAAAGCAUGGGGAGCGAACAGGAUUAGAUACCCUAGUAGUC
rnacentral:rRNA from 1 species